rnacentral:rRNA from 1 species
GAUGAACGCUGGCGGCGUGCCUAAUACAUGCAAGUCGAGCGAAUGGAUUAAGAGCUUGCUCUUAUGAAGUCAGCGGCGGACGGGUGAGUAACACGUGGGUAACCUGCCCAUAAGACUGGGAUAACUCCGGGAAACCGGGGCUAAUACCGGAUAAUAUUUUGAACUGCAAGGUUCAAAAUUGAAAGGCGGCUUCGGCUGUCACUUACGGAUGGACCCGCGUCGCAUUAGCAAGUUGGUGAGGUAACGGCUCACCAAGGCAACGAUGCGUAGCCGACCUGAGAGGGUGAUCGGCCACACUGGGACUGAGACACGGCCCAGACUCCUACGGGAGGCAGCAGUAGGGAAUCUUCCGCAAUGGACGAAAGUCUGACGGAGCAACGCCGCGUGAGUGAUGAAGGCUUUCGGGUCGUAAAACUCUGUUGUUAGGGAAGAACAAGUGCUAGUUGAAUAAGCUGGCACCUUGACGGUACCUAACCAGAAAGCCACGGCUAACUACGUGCCAGCCGCCGCUGUAA